rnacentral:rRNA from 1 species
UACGUAGGGUGCGAGCGUUGUCCGGAAUUACUGGGCGUAAAGAGCUCGUAGGUGGUUUGUCGCGUUGUUCGUGAAAACUCACAGCUCAACUGUGGGCGUGCGGGCGAUACGGGCAGGCUAGAGUUCGGUAGGGGAGACUGGAAUUCCUGGUGUAGCGGUGAAAUGCGCAGAUAUCAGGAGGAACACCGGUGGCGAAGGCGGCAUCCUGGACCGGUAUUGACGCUGAGGCGCGAAAGCGUGGGGAGCAAACAGG